AACGAACGCUGGCGGCAUGCCUAACACAUGCAAGUCGAACGGCAGCACGGGAGCAAUCCUGGUGGCGAGUGGCGAACGGGUGAGUAAUAUAUCGGAACGUGCCCAGUAGUGGGGAUAGCCCGGCGAAAGCCGGAUUAAUACCGCAUGAGACCUGAGGGUGAAAGCGGGGGGAUCGCAAGACCUCGCGCUACUGGAGCGGCCGAUAUCAGAUUAGCUAGUUGGUGGGUAAAGGCCUACCAAGGCAACGAUCUGUAGUUGGUCUGAGAGGAUGAUCAGUCACACUGGAACUGAGACACGGUCCAGACUCCUACGGGAGGCAGCAGUGGGGGAAUAUUGGACAAUGGCGAAGACUGAUCCAGCCAUGCCGCGUGUGUGAAGAA
rnacentral:rRNA from 1 species